rnacentral:lncRNA from 1 species
CCACACUGGAGCUGCUCUGAUUUCAGCAAGCAGGAAACGUUUAUCCAUGAGCACAAGUGGUGUCUGGCCUCCAGCAACGCCAGCCCCUCUGCUCUGGCCCAGCCUCGCGGGUUGUCCCGUUAUGAAUCCGCCAUAGAGCAGGAAGCGCCUCGUUCUCAAUUCACAGGCUUCAGGGGCCCCUGAGCACCCAGCACCAUGGGCUGCCUCCAUGGCCCAGCCCUAAUGCGGCUCCUCCUCGCAGGUACAGGGAAGUUCAGUGUCUUCGAAGUGCACGUCGGAUGACAGCGACCCCAGCCUCCCUGGGCCACGGCCUCUCCCAGAGCUGUUCCCUGACGAGGGCACCUGCCGGCCACAGCUCCAUGGAGGCCAGUUCACCACGACGAUGAGAUGCGGCUCCUCCAGGGAGAACCCCGGACUUUGAGGGCGGAGGAACCUCGGCCAGACCUGGGCGUGAAGUCUGGAGAUGAAACACUCAAGCUGGGGGUUCCUGAUCCUCCCCCGCCACGGGCCCCCCAUCAGCACGCCCCUCUGGGCCUGAAAGUUGCCGGUCCUGGCCCUGUGGGCUGGGCAUUGCCCAGCCUCCCUGUACCCUGCUGCCUUGAACUCUCCCCGACUCCUAGGGCCAUGCGGACCCCCAGCUCUGGAGUGGAGGCCCAGGCAGGCACGGGCGUCUCACAGUAGGGUGAGCCCUCUGGGACUGUGUCUCCCCAGCCAUCAGGCAACUCGGGCUGGUGAGCGACGGUCCCCAGGGGCAGCCCCACCGGGGUGCGUCUGGAUGCAGGGCCAGACCUUUCCUUUAUAACAAGUCACAUGUAGGUGGCAGGAGUGGUACUCACCUUAGGCUCAGGUGCCACCGACCACCACCUGUGAGCCUGACGAGCCAUACCCUGCUUGCCAGAUGGCCCCAGGUUGGGGCAGGGGCAGAGCAGCUGGGAGGUCCUGUCAGCAUGGACAGUGCCCGGAGAGGAGCACUCACCAAGCAGAGGAGAAUAAUAAUCAUUUGAAGGGAGAGCCUGGGUGGACGCCAGACCUUUGACAAGUUCCUGCUGCCUCCCCAAACCCUGUCCCCGGGGAGUGGUACCUACAGCAGGAGCAGGUGACAGGCAGGGGCCACACCUUUGGGACUGGCUGGCAUCUUCUCUGUUUCUUUGUUUCAGUGCUGACUUGCCCCAAACUUUAGGAACAUAAAUAAAUGAAUGUGUUUUCUACCACGUGGUCACGCUCUAUUACUUGGUCCUGCUUUGUCCCGCACAUCACCUGCAUGCCUCACCCAGGGAGUCCGGAUCCUGCACUUUGAGGGGCUGUGGCCCUGGGUGGCAGGUGCACUCUGGGGUCCACAUCCACAUCGCCCACCAUUGCUGCUUGACUCCUUCCUCCCUCCUGUUGCCUUCUCUGCCUCUUGCCCUCCUCCCCUCUUGCUCUCUCUCUCUUUCUCUCUGUCUCUGUCUUUCUCUCUCUGUCUUCCUCCCUCUGUCUCUGUCUCUCUC